CAAAAUACAAAGGCAUCGGGUAUCUUCGUUUCGGCUAGCAAGACGAAGCGAGGUUAAAAGGGAACCAGGUGAGAAUCCUGGACGGUCGCGCCACUGUGAGCGGGGAGCGACAUUCCCAGUAAGCCACUGUCCGAACAUGUAGCCGGUUGUGACGGAACCGGGUGCGUGCCGGAUGGGAAGGCGGGAAUGGAGCGAGGAUCCGCGAGUCAGGAAACCUGCCCGAGGCGGUGCGUCGUC
rnacentral:ncRNA from 2 species